rnacentral:rRNA from 1 species
UACGUAGGGGGCAAGCGUUGUCCGGAAUCAUUGGGCGUAAAGAGCGUGUAGGCGGCUUGGCAAGUCUGGUGUGAAAUCUUGCGGCUCAACCGCAAGCGGUCACUGGAAACUGCCUCGCUAGAGUCCGGAAGAGGAGAGCGGAAUUCCUGGUGUAGCGGUGGAAUGCGUAGAGAUCGGGAGGAACACCAGUGGCGAAGGCGGCUACCUGGACCAGCACUGACACUGAGUCACGAAAGCGUGGGGAGCAAACAGG